UUGAACGCUGGCGGCAGGCCUAACACAUGCAAGUCGAGCGCUAAAGGUUUUCGGACUGAGUAAAGCGGCGGACGGGUGAGUAACGCGUGGGAAUCUGCCCAGUAGUGGGGGACAACAGUCGGAAACGACUGCUAAUACCGCAUACGCCCUACGGGGGAAAGGGGGGGAUCUUCGGACCUCUCGCUAUUGGAUGAGCCCGCGUCGGAUUAGCUAGUUGGUAGGGUAAAGGCCUACCAAGGCUACGAUCCGUAACUGGUCUGAGAGGAUGAUCAGUCACACUGGAACUGAGACACGGUCAGACUCCUACGGGAGGCAGCAGUGGGGAAUAUUGGACAAUGGGGGCAACCCUGAUCCAGCCAUGCCGCGUGUGUGAAGAAGGCCUUAGGGUUGUAAAGCACUUUCAGUGGGGAGAAAGGUUUGUCACCUAAUACGUGAUGAAAUUGAUGUUACCCACAGAAGGAGCACCGGCUAACUCCGUGCCAGCCGCCGCAGUAA
rnacentral:rRNA from 1 species